AUUCAGCUGACGAGUCCCAAAUAGGAUGAACCUGGCAUCCUGGAU
rnacentral:hammerhead_ribozyme from 1 species